AUGGCUGGCGUCUCCACCAAUGCCAUUGCCCUUGUGCUUGUGACACUCCUCUCCGUGCUUGUCACGUCCGUCCGUUCUGCGGCCAACUACGACACCGCCGCCGCUAGAUCCUACAACUCCGGCUGGCUCCCCGCCAAGGCCACCUGGUACGGUGCGCCCACCGGCGCCGGCCCCAUGGACAACGGCGGUGCUUGCGGCUUCAAGAACGUGAACAAGUGCCCCUUCUCCUCCAUGACGUCCUGCGGCAACGAGCCUCUGUUCGACGGCGGCGCAGGCUGCGGCAGUUGCUACGAGAUUCGAUGCAUCGCCGCCAACAACCCUUCCUGCUCCGGCCAGCCGAGGACGGUCGUCAUCACCGACAUGAACUACUACCCCGUGGCCAGGUACCACUUCGACCUCAGCGGCACUGCGUUCGGGGCCAUGGCCAAAUACGGCCUCAACGACAAGCUCCGCCACGCCGGCAUCAUCGACAUGCAGUUCAGGAGGGUGCGCUGCAACUUCCCGGGCAUGAAGGUCACCUUCCACGUCCAGCAUGGAUCAAACCCCAACUACCUCGCAGUCCUCGUGGAGUACGCCAACGUCGACGGCACCGUGGUCCGCAUGGAGCUCAUGCAAACCAGGAACGGGCGCCCAACGGGGUCCUGGGAG
rnacentral:rRNA from 1 species